rnacentral:rRNA from 1 species
AGAGUUUGAUUCUGGCUCAGAAUAACGCUGGCGGCGUGCCUAACACAUGCAAGUCGGACGCGAAGCUUCGGUUAGAGUGGCGCACGGGUGAGUAACGCGUAGGUAAUCUACCUCUGGAUUGGGGAUAACUCUGCGAAAGCGGAGCUAAUACCGAAUGCUGGCUUUAUUUUGAUGAAGUCGGUAAAGGAUGCUUGCAUAUGCAUCUGUCCGGAGAUGAGCCUGCGUCCCAUUAGCUAGUUGGUAGGGUAAAGGCCUACCAAGGCGACGAUGGGUAGCUGGUCUGAGAGGAUGAUCAGCCACACUGGAACUGGAACACGGUCCAGACUCCUACGGGAGGCAGCAGUGGGGAAUAUUGGGCAAUGGGCGCAAGCCUGACCCAGCAACGCCGUGUGAGGGAGGUUCGUCGACCUCUGUCAGAAGGGCGAAUAGACCUUCAGAGGAAGCACCGGCAACUCCGUGCCAGCAGCCGCGGUAAUACGGAGGGUGCGAGCGUUAUUCGGAAUCACUGGGCGUGAAGAGUUCGUAGGCGGAAAGGUAGGUUGUUGGUUAAAGCCCCCGGCUCAACCGGGGAAAAGCUGGCAAAACCGCCUUUCUUGUCCUCUGCAGGGGGUGCUGGAACUUACCAUGUAGGGGUGAAAUCCGUUGAUAUGGUAAGGAACGCCAACGGCGAAGGCGGGUACCUGGGCACAGGAGACGCUGAGGAACGAAAGCUAGGGGAGCGAACCGGAUUAGAGACCCGGGUAGUCCUAGCCGUAAACGAUGUCCGCUAGUUGCUUGAGAGUAAUCUUAGGUGACGAAGGUAACCCAUUAAGCGGACCGCCUGGGAAGUACGAUCGCAAGAUUGAAACUCAAAGGAAUUGGCGGGGAGGCGCACAACCAGUGGAGCAUGUGGUUUAAUUCGAUACAAAGCGAAGAACCUUACCUGGGUACAUCCAGCUUUUUCCCUUGACAGAGCAAGGCUUUAAAAGAAGCUACUGCAUGGUUGUCGUCAGCUCGUGUCGUGAGACGUUCCCUUAAGUGGGGUAACGAGCGCAACCCCUAUCCUUGUUGAUCGACCCGUCUGGAAACAAAUCUUUUUGUUUGGCUAUUUUUAAGCUUUAAAUCACGGGGGACGACGUCAAAUCAGCAUGGUGCUUAUGUCCAGGGCGACACACAUCCUACAAUGGGGAGUACAAUGGGCUGCCAAGCCGUAAGGCGGAGCUAUCCCAGCAAACCUCUCUCAGUGGGGAUUGAGGGCUGCAAUUCGCCCUCAUGAACGCGGAAUUGGUAGUAAUCGCGGAUCAGCAGGCCGCGGUGAAUACGUUCUCGCCUCUGCACACACCCCCGUC